rnacentral:rRNA from 1 species
CGUUUCAGUAUCGACGAAGCGCCCUGUCGGGUGGUGACGGUAGAUACAGAAGAAGGACCGGCCAACUACGUGCCAGCAGCCGCGGUAAUACGUAGGGUCCGAGCGUUGUCCGGAAUUAUUGGGCGUUAAAGGGCUCGUAGGCGGUUUGUCGCGUCGGGAGUGAAAUCUUACAGCUUAACUGUGAACUUGCUUCCGAUACGGGCAGACUUGAGGCAUUCAGGGGAGAACGGAAUUCCUGGUGUAGCGGUGAAAUGCGCAGAUAUCAGGAGGAACACCGGUGGCGAAGGCGGUUCUCUGGGAAUGUACUGACGCUGAGGAGCGAAAGUGUGGGGAGCGAACAGGAUUAGAUACCCUGGUAGUCCACACCGUAAACGUUGGGCGCUAGGUGUGGGGCCUAUUCCAUGGGUUCCGUGCCGCAGCUAACGCAUUAAGCGCCCCGCCUGGGGAGUACGGCCGCAAGGCUA